GACAGAGGGGGCAAGCGUUGCUCGGAAUUACUGGGCGUAAAGGGCGCGUAGGCGGUGCGGUAAGUCACCUGUGAAACCUCUAGGCUUAACCUAGAGCCUGCAGGCGAAACUGCCGUGCUGGAGUGUGGGAGAGGUGCGUGGAAUUCCCGGUGUAGCGGUGAAAUGCGUAGAGAUGUGGAGGAACACCGAUGGCGAAGGCAGCCCCCUGGGCCAACACUGACGCUCAGGCACGAAAGCGUGGGGAGCAAACAGG
rnacentral:rRNA from 1 species